rnacentral:rRNA from 1 species
GACGAACGCUGGCGGCGUGCCUAACACAUGCAAGUCGAACGGAACUGUUUUGAAAGAUUUCUUCGGAAUGAAUUUGAUUUAGUUUAGUGGCGGACGGGUGAGUAACGCGUGAGUAACCUGCCUUCAAGAGGGGGAUAACAUUCUGAAAAGAAUGCUAAUACCGCAUGACAUAUCGGAAUCACAUGAUUUUGAUAUCAAAGAUUUUAUCGCUUGAAGAUGGACUCGCGUCCGAUUAGUUAGUUGGUGAGGUAACGGCUCACCAAGACCGCGAUCGGUAGCCGGACUGAGAGGUUGAACGGCCACAUUGGGACUGAGACACGGCCCAGACUCCUACGGGAGGCAGCAGUGGGGGAUAUUGCGCAAUGGGGGCAACCCUGACGCAGCAACGCCGCGUGAAGGAUGAAGGUUUUCGGAUUGUAAACUUCUUUUAUUAAGGACGAAAAU